AAAAACUCCGGUGGUAUGAGAUGGACCCGCGUCUGAUUAGCUAGUUGGUGAGGUAACGGCCCACCAAGGCGACGAUCAGUAGCCGGCCUGAGAGGGCGACCGGCCACAUUGGGACUGAGACACGGCCCAAACUCCUACGGGAGGCAGCAGUGGGGAAUAUUGCACAAUGGGGGAAACCCUGAUGCAGCGACGCCGCGUGAGUGAAGAAGUAUUUCGGUAUGUAAAGCUCUAUCAGCAGGGAAGAAGAAAGACGGUACCUGACUAAGAAGCCCCGGCUAACUACGUGCCAGCAGCCGCGGUAAUACGUAGGGGGCAAGCGUUAUCCGGAUUUACUGGGUGUAAAGGGAGCGUAGACGGCUGUGCAAGUCUGAAGUGAAAGCCCAGGGCUCAACCCUGGGACUGCUUUGGAAACUGUGGAGCUAGAGUGCUGGAGAGGUAAGUGGAAUUCCUAGUGUAGCGGUGAAAUGCGUAGAUAUUAGGAGGAACACCAGUGGCGAAGGCGGCUUACUGGACAGUAACUGACGUUGAGGCUCGAAAGCGUGGGGAGCAAACAGGAUUAGAUACCCUGGUAGUCCACGCGGUAAACGUUGAUAUCUAGGUGUUGGAGAGCAAAGCUUUUCG
rnacentral:rRNA from 1 species